rnacentral:misc_RNA from 1 species
UUCAAAUUGACAUCAUGUGGUCGGAAGAAAAAAACGACUAUCCAGAUAUUUUACAACCAAUUCCUUUCGAAGAAUGGCCCCUAGUUCAAAAUCAUUUCAGAGCUAACUGGCCAACGUAUUCAAACUACUAUUACUGGAUCGAAAACAGUAUAAAAUGGAAGGAAGUAUCUCCAGAACUAGAAAUACAAAUUUACUCCAUUCGAGGAGAUUAUCAUCGUGAUGGAACAUUCAUAGGAAUAUCGAGUUUUUCGAUAACCAGUAUUUGGGUUUUCACAACCGAAGCAUCAGGCAAAAUAUUUACAAUUAGUGAAGCACUGUUAAAGUCCAAACAUUUUGACUGGAGCAGGGAAAUUAUAUUUUGCGGAGUUCACGAACAUGUUGUACCCCUUUUGUCCAUGGCGUUAGACCAUCUAAAAACUGUAGGAGGUAUCGAAAUCGCUUCGAUCAUAACAACCAGAUUUCAUUUUAAGUCUGCCAAUGAUGCUACAAGAGUAGAAGUAAGGUUGCCUGACGAGUGUUAUUUGGCCAAGUUGAAUCGAUCUCAUGCCCCUUUAAUACAUUCGUCAUGGUCGCUUGCCAGCAAGGAAGAACCAGAAAAUACAACUAAAUUCAUCGAAGCUAUGAUAAAUUGGAAUAAAAGUAUGGGACUAUUUCUGAAGGAAGGUGAUGUCCUAGUAUCUUGGUGUCUUCAGUCUGAUUGGCACAGCUUAGGAAGUGUGUACACUAGGGAUGCCUACUGGAAAAGAGGAUAUGCCAAAGUUAUCGUUAAUAUCAUGGCUAAACGACUCGGUGAGGAAGGGAUUGAUCCAAUUUUGGCCAUAGCUAACGGCAACACGCCCUCCGAACAUAUGUUCGAAUCACUUGGUUGGAAACCAUUUGAUCAUUUGACUUGGACAAUUAUGAAGAGAAAAAAAAAAUGUAUCAUUUAGGUAAUAGUCGAAAUUUUAUUUCACAGUUGGAUGAAAUCUUUUGUAUCACACGUUAUAGAAAAAAUUGCAUCCAAAGAAUAUUUUCGGAUGGAUCUUCGGUUCUAUAGAUCUAUAUCUAUAGAUUGUAAAUAAUUAACUUCGUGUAAUAAGAUCAUCUAACAUUAGCCUCGGGAUAUUUUGGCCUUUCACCUUGCUGACUGAAUGUGGGUAAUCGCUUAGAACUUCACCAUUAUGAUAUAAUAUACGUAGGUACGUGACAAUGAUCACGUAAAGCCUAAGUGUAGUCCCCAAUAUAAUUAAAGACAUUAGGCUAACUUAUCUCCGCGUUAUUUCCUAUACAGGGUGUCCCAUUUUAAUUGAACUAGUUUGAUUACUCGAAAGGAUGAGGUCGUACGAAAAAGACGCUAACCAUUUUUUUUCAAGUGUUGGGACACCCUGUAUAGCGUUUUCUAAAACUGUGGCAACUGACUGUUAGUGAUAUCAAGGCAGAUACAUGGUGAUAUGAUAACCGCGCAUAGCAAUCACGCUGCUUAAUGACGAGUUCCUUGCGUAAUUGUUAUUCUACAAUGAAUCGUCAUUCGGUUGGAAAGCACCCGCUUCCUAACUUUACCAUCGCGUUGUGCCGUGAGACGGACCUCGAACGAUUUAUUGGAAGUUAUAUUUAUCUACUAUCAGAUAAUAGGAUUACUGAAACUGUUGUUACUGGUGUAUAUUCCCAGCCCGUAUUGUCUGGGGCAAAGAGUAUUCUUCAGCCUGGGCAUCUGAUUUAACCAUAUACGUCUUCGGAUUUAACACCGAG